AGGUUCCGCUUGAUUUCAGCGAAUUCUUUGAACAGGCCAAGCAGUGGGACAUAUUUCACAGAACAUCUGACUGAAAGGACAUUUAAAGCAUGGGAACCACGCAUCAAAAGGGAAUACGCUUGACACUCGUUAACGCAGACAUAAAGACGACGUUCGAGUCACUUGCGCGGUGACGCAUUUGAACUUGGUUACAUCACUCAGAGACCCUGCUAAGGUUCUCUUCUCUAGUUAAGGAACGGACUCCUUAGAAUCGGCUCAGCUAUGAAUAGGGACGUUGUUUCCGCAAAGCAUCGCGAUUUUUAUGAUGUCUCGCAUUCUGUGGACGGUCCUUAAAGAACACAGGGACGCCAACUGAACUAUGCUGCACCGUAAUGAUAUCUGCAUCAGG
rnacentral:ncRNA from 1 species